UACGAAGGGUGCAAACGUUGCUCGGAAUCAUUGGGCGUAAAGCGCCCGUAGGCGGCUCCGCAAGUCGGAUGUGAAAUCCCUCGGCUCAACCGAGGACGUGCAUCCGAAACUGCAGAGCUUGAGUAUGGAAGAGGGUCGCGGAAUCCCCGGUGUAGAGGUGAAAUUCGUAGAUAUCGGGGGGAACACCAGUGGCGAAGGCGGCGACCUGGGCCAAUACUGACGCUGAGGUGCGAAAGCGUGGGGAGCAAACAGG
rnacentral:rRNA from 1 species